rnacentral:misc_RNA from 1 species
GAUGAAGAACGCAGCGAAAUGCGAUACGUAAUGUGAAUUGCAGAAUUCAGUGAAUCAUCGAGUCUUUGAACGCACAUUGCGCUCCCUGGUAUUCCGGGGGGCAUGCCUGUCCGAGCGUCAUUGCUGCCCUCAAGCACGGCUUGUGUGUUGGGCCUCCGUCCUCCUCCCGGGGGACGGGCCCGAAAGGCAGCGGCGGCACCGCGUCCGGUCCUCGAGCGUAUGGGGCUUCGUCACCCGCUCUUGUAGGCCCGGCCGGCGCUUGCCGACACAUCAAUCUUUUUUCCAGGUUGACCUCGGAUCAGGUAGGGAUACCCGCUGAACUUAAGCAUAUCAAUAAGCGGAGGA